rnacentral:tRNA from 1 species
GCGAGCGUAGCCAAGUGGUUAAGGCAGUGGUUUGUGGUACCACCAUUUCGUGGGUUCAAGUCCCAUCGUUCGCC